GUUGAACGCUGGCGGCAGGCCUAACACAUGCAAGUCGAACGAGUGGCGGACGGGUGAGUAAUGUCUGGGAAACUGCCUGAUGGAGGGGGGUAACUACUGGAAACGGUAGCUAAUACCGCAUACCAUAAGAUGUGCCCAGUUGGGAUUAGCUAGUUGGUGGGGUAACGGCUCACCAAGGCGGCGAUCCCUAGCUGGUCUGAGAGGAUGACCAGCCACAUUGGAACUGAGACACGGUCCAGACUCCUACGGGAGGAAGCAUUGGGGAAUAUUGCACAAUGGGCGAAAGCCUGAGGCAGCCCGGCCGCGUGUAUGAAGAAGGCCUUCGGGUUGUAAAGUACUUUCAGCGGGGAGGCGUUACUCGCAGAAAAAGCACCGGCUAACUCCGUGCCAGCAGCCGCGGUAAUAC
rnacentral:rRNA from 1 species